rnacentral:rRNA from 1 species
UACAGAGGUCUCGAGCGUUAGGCGGAAUCACUGGGCUUAAAGCGUGUGUAGGUGGAUGCCUAAGUACCUUGUGAAAUCCCACGGCUUAACCGUGGAACUGCUUGGUAUACUGGGUGUCUUGAGUCACUCAGGGGCGAGCGGAACAAAUGGUGGAGCGGUGAAAUGCGUAGAUAUCAUUUGGAACGCCAAUGGGUGAAAACAGCUCGCUGGGGGUGCACUGACACUGAGACACGAAAGCCAGGGGAGCGAACGGG